rnacentral:rRNA from 1 species
AGGACGAACGCUGGCGGCGUGCCUAACACAUGCAAGUCGAACGAGGUCCAACUAGUGGCAACACUUGUGAAGAUCUAGUGGCGAACGGGUGAGUAACACGUGAGGAACCUACCCCGGAGACCGGGAUAACUGGCCGAAAGGCCAGCUAAUACCGGAUGUCCCCAUCGGAUCGCAUGGUCUGAUGCGGAAAUGGAUUCCGCUCCGGGAGGGCCUCGCGGCCCAUCAGCUUGUUGGUGAGGUAACGGCUCACCAAGGCAUCGACGGGUAGCUGGUCUGAGAGGACGACCAGCCACACUGGGAUUGAGAACGGCCCAGACUCCUACGGGGGGCAGCAGUGAGGAAUUUUCCGCAAUGGACGCAAGUCUGACGGAGCAACGCCGCGUGCAGGAUGACGGCCUUCGGGUUGUAAACUGCUUUUCUGUGAGACGAGAACGGACGGUAUCACAGGAAUCGAGCCCCGGCUAACUACGUGCCAGCACGCCGCGGUAAC